CAGCACAGCCCUGAGGUGGUGGAAGCCGUUCUGUCAGAGCAGACUCAGACCCGGAGCUCAGACUCAAAGGCUGUGGACUCCGUUUCCCAGAGUGCCUUGCUGCCCAACGUGCUGCUGCUGUGCACGGCUCCACAGGCGGACAUCACAUGUGCAGCGCUAACCACUCUGCGAGUCCUGGUCCAGAGGAGCCCGGAGAGCCGCCAGGACAGGUAUGGACCAGGACUAAACCGUACGUAGGGUUAAACCUGGGCAAAACCUUAUAUUA
rnacentral:lncRNA from 1 species